rnacentral:tmRNA from 1 species
GGCCUUCCGGCGGACGGCGGAAGCGUCUAUAUAAGGGCUGCCGGCGCGAGCCGGCUAUGACGAUAAACGCUGUUUGGAAUAAGCGUUGCGGACCCGGGGGCAGAUCCCGGCGCCUCCACCAAGCCCCCUUUAGGGGCCUGCCUGCGGGGGCGACUCAGGCUCGACGUGCGUGGUAAAGAGGCAGUUUUCGUCCGGCAUGGUACCGCCGUUACCGGACCAAACACGAUAGAUGCCAACGACAACCGUAUGGCUCUCGCUGCCUAACCUUUAGGUAAGCGCGGUCCGGAAGGCACCGGGCAACAGAAGCCUUCCAUC